rnacentral:rRNA from 1 species
ACGGAGGGUGCAAGCGUUAAUCGGAAUUACUGGGCGUAAAGCGCACGCAGGCGGUCUGUCAAGUCGGAUGUGAAAUCCCCGGGCUCAACCUGGGAACUGCAUUCGAAACUGGCAGGCUUGAGUCUUGUAGAGGGGGGUAGAAUGCCAGGUGUAGCGGUGAAAUGCGUAGAGAUCUGGAGGAACACCGAUGGCGAAGGCGGCCUGCUGGACAAAUACUGACGCUGAGGUGCGAAAGCGUGGGGAGCAAACAG